rnacentral:rRNA from 1 species
CGUGUGAAUUGCAGAAUCCCGUGAAUCAUCGAGUCUUUGAACGCAAGUUGCGCCCGAGGCCUCGGCCGAGGGCACGUCUGCUUGGGCGUCG